GGUUUGAUUCUAGCUCAGAUUGAACGCUGGCGGGAUGCUUUACAUGCAAGUCGAACGGCAGCACGGACUUCGGUCUGGUGGCGAGUGGCGAUGGGCAGAGUAAUGUAUCGGAACGUGCCUAAUGUGAGGAUAACUACGCGAAAGCGUAGCUAAUACCUGUAACGCCCUUCGGGGAAAAGCAGGGGACCUUCCCGGGCACUCGCACUAUUAGAGCGGCCGAUAUCGGAUUAGCUAGUUGGUGGGUAACAGCUCACCAAGGCGACGAUCCGUAGCUGGUUUGAGAGGACGACCAGCCACACUGGGACUGAGACACGACCCAGACUCCUACAGGAGGCAGCGAAGUGAAAUUUUGGACAAUGGAAACCCUGAUCCAGCCAUCCCACGCGUGUGCGAUGAAGGCCUUCGGGUUGUAAAGCACUUUUGGCAGGAAGAAACGGCACAGGAUAAUGCCCGUGCAACUGACAACACCUGCAGAUAAGCGCAAGCCUAACCAUGCCAGCAGCCGCAGUAAUACGUAGGUUGCAAGUUAAUCGGAGAUUACUGGGCGUAAAGCGUGCGCAGGCGGUUCGGAAAGAAAGAUGUGAAAUCCCAGAGCUUAACUUUGGAACUGCAUUUUUAACUGCCGAGCUAGAGUGUGUCAGAGGGAGGUGGAAUUCCGCGUGUAGCAGUGAAAUGCGUAGAUAUGCGGAGGAACUUGCAGUAGUAAUAUCUGGGAUAACACUGACGCUCAUGCACGAAAAGCGUGGGGAGCAAACAGGAUUAGAUACCUGGUAGUCCACGCCCUAAACGAUGUCAACUAGCUGUUGGGGCCUUAGGGCCUUGGUGGCCCACCAGCUAACGCGUGAGGGGGAUUGACCGCCUGGGGAAGUACGGUCGCAAAGAUUAAAACUCAAAGGAAUUGACGGGGACGCACAAGCGGUGGAUGAUGUGGUUAAUUCGAUGCAACGCGAAAAACCUUACCUACCUUGACAUGUCUGGAAUCCCGAAGAGAUUUGGGAGUGCUCGCAAGAGAACCGGAACACAGGUGCUGCAUGGCUGUCGUCAGCAGCUCGUGUCGUGAGAUGUUGGGUUAAGUCCCGCAACGGCAGCCCUUGUCAUUAGUUGCUACGAAAGGCACUCUAAUGGGACUGCCGGUGACAAACCGGAGGAAGGUGGGGAUGACGUCAGAGUCUCAUGGCCGCUAUGGGUAGGGAUUCACACGUCAUACAAUGGUCGGGACAGAGGGUCGCCAACCCCGCGAGAGGGUAAUCCAGAAACCCGAUCGUAGUCCGGAUCGCAGUCUGCAACUCGACUGCGUGAAGUCAGAAUCACGCCUAAUGUCGCGGAUCAGCAUGUCGCGGUGAAUACGUUCCCGGGUCUUGUACACACCGCCCGUCACACCAUGGGAGUGGGUUUUACCAGAAGUAGUUAGCCUAACCGUAAGGAGGGCGAUUACACAGUAGGAUUCAUGACUGGGGUGAAGUCGUAACAAAAUUAG
rnacentral:rRNA from 1 species